AACUUUUUCAUCACGAAAUAUAAAUGAAAUACAAAUAAAAAAAAUGUGAAUAUUAGGAUGAGACUUUGAUCUAUCAUUUCUAUUAAUCAAUAUUCAUUUUUGUUAAUCAAUGUUACGGACUAAUUAGAAAAUCAACAAUAGAUCCAUAAAUCAAGUUAACGAUUACGUCUAUCAGUUGAAGAACGAGUGAUAACAACGAAUCACGUAAACAUUGCAUGACUGAGACACGCAGUUAUCUUGUGACUUUAUAUCUGGUAAGGUAGCGUAAUACAAUAUUACACAUUACAAUAUUCGAGAAUUAUCGGGUGAUGAAUUCUCUCGAAAAUACAGAAAAUAAAGAAAUCUUGAUCAUGGACUUACUAAAUACUUUCAUAAACGCAAUUUAUUUGCGGCGUGCGAUAGCAUCGUUAGCACUGAAAGAUCUAAGAAAGUAUGAUGUCCGUUUCAGAUGUCCAUUUUUCCUUCACGGUCCACCCACUUGUAAGUAUCCUGAGAAAACUAUCAGCGUCAGCGGUGCAUCUGGCUAUUCACGGCCCGCAAAUCUAGACGUUUCGAGGAAAGCGAUGGGGUGGAUACCCCGUCCGCGUCCAUCCGAUACCGUUACGAUGCGUCGCUGUGCACGAAUAUCUGUGAGCGUGCGACAGAUGCAAAUGGUGAACGCAUUCAUCCGUCGCCGGGGCCGACGAUCACGGGAAAAAUCGCAAAUAACGGGUUGCGGCCGUUUCACGGGCUCGCCAUAGAAAUGAUUGACAAGCCUCAGCCGAAGCCUAGAAUGGACGACUAAAUUUGGCGUGAUCGCGAGACACGGACAUAAUGAGGAAUCGCCGCUGUCGUCGUAUCGAGAAUAACUUGUCCCUUCGCACUGACAAUUUUCAUUUUUCAUUUUAUUAAAUGUCUAUCGAUCCCUUUUUUAAUAUUAAUCACGGAUAAAAAAUCAACGAUGCAUUAAAAGAAAAAAAUUUCUAGAUUUUAAUCAAUAUUUAUUCGAAUAAUACUAAUGAAAUUUUUCCUUAUAUUAAUUUUCCUUAAUAUUUGUUCAAUAGGAAAAAAAUGAUACUUAAAUUAUUAAUUGAUACUUAAAUUGGUUCUUGGGCUAAAUAUAUAUUUAGCAUUUGGUAAAUAUUUCAUUAAGUACUAUUCGAAUAAAUAUUUAUAAAAAUGUAGUAAUUCAUCCCUCAUGGAUGUGUUCAAAAAACGUGCUUUUUAAUACCAUGUGCCUGAAAUGUGAAACGAUUUUUCUUAAAAACAGAGAUAACACCGUGUGAAUGCGAUUUUAAUUAAAAACUUUUAUUGACUUCCGUUCGUUUACUGCUUCUUAACUGUCACAAAGUAAUGGCUUAUAUCGAUUUAAUACUUUAAAAUGAGAGAAUUUUUUUUGUGUUUCAUCUAAUUUUUUUCUUACGAUCUGAAUAAAUUUUUUCUCACUAUCUGAUACAAUCUGAUAUUACAUUAUUUUUGAGGGAUGUAAAAUGCAUAUCAAUUUUUUGUUUGUCUUUAAUAAUCUUUUAUGAAACAAUAAAUAAUGUUUUACGAAAUGUAAGAGAAUUCUAAGAAAAAUGGAUAUUUGACGUAGCAUUUGAGACAAAAUAUGACAAAUGGUAUGGUAACUGAACAUCAUUAACUCCUUUGGGAAUUACGCUUCAGCACGGUUUUCUUUUCUUUUUUUUGUUCAAGUCGACCAUCGUCGGCAAUGGCUGCGUUGCGAAAUUCACUUCAAAUACCGAAAAUCUUUAGUCCACGUUACACAUAAUUUGACGUAAAAGUAUUUCAUAUUUUAGUUCAUAAAUCAUAUUAAACUGCCAAUAAAAACA